rnacentral:rRNA from 1 species
GAUCCUGGCUCAGGAUGAACGCUAGCUACAGGCUUAACACAUGCAAGUCGAGGGGCAGCGGGAAGUCAGCUUGCUGACUUUGCCGGCGACCGGCGCACGGGUGAGUAACACGUAUCCAACCUCCCGCAUACUCGGGAAUAGCCUUUCGAAAGAAAGAUUAAUGCCCGAUGGUUUCAAGGGAUUGCAUGGUAUCUUGAAUAAAGAUUCAUCGGUAUGCGACUGGGGAUGCGUUCCAUUAGG